GAUGAACGCUAGCGGCAGGCCUAACACAUGCAAGUCGAGGGGUAACAGGGAGAAGCUUGCUUUUCCGCUGACGACCGGCGCACGGGUGCGUAACGCGUAUACAAUCUGCCUUAUACUGGGGUAUAGCCUUUAGAAAUGAAGAUUAAUCCCCCAUAGUCUCUUAGAGUGGCAUCAUUUUAGGAGUAAAGGUUACGGUAUAAGAUGAGUAUGCGUUCUAUUAGUUUGUUGGUGAGGUAACGGCUCACCAAGGCUACGAUAGAUAGGGGCCCUGAGAGGGGGAUCCCCCACACUGGUACUGAGACACGGACCAGACUCCUACGGGAGGCAGCAGUGAGGAAUAUUGGACAAUGGAGGCAACUCUGAUCCAGCCAUGCCGCGUGCAGGAAGACUGCCCUAUGGG
rnacentral:rRNA from 1 species